rnacentral:rRNA from 1 species
CCUACGGGUGGCAGCAGUGGGGAAUAUUGGACAAUGGGCGAAAGCCUGAUCCAGCCAUGCCGCGUGUGUGAAGAAGGCCUUCGGGUUGUAAAGCACUUUCAGUGGGGAAGAAAGCCUUGGGGCUAAUACCCUCGAGGAAGGACAUCACCCACAGAAGAAGCACCGGCUAACAUCCGUGCCAGCAGCCGCGGUAAUACGGAGGGUGCGAGCGUUAAUCGGAAUUACUGGGCGUAAAGCGCGCGUAGGCGGUCUGAUAAGCCGGUUGUGAAAGCCCCGGGCUCAACCUGGGAACGGCAUCCGGAACUGUCAGGCUAGAGUGCAGGAGAGGAAGGUAGAAUUCCCGGUGUAGCGGUGAAAUGCGUAGAGAUCGGGAGGAAUACCAGUGGCGAAGGCGGCCUUCUGGACUGACACUGACGCUGAGGUGCGAAAGCGUGGGUAGCAAACAGGAUUAGAUACCCCUGUAGUC